CCUACGGGUGGCAGCAGUGGGGAAUAUUGGGCAAUGGGCGCAAGCCUGACCCAGCAACGCCGCGUGAAGGAAGAAGGCUUUCGGGUUGUUAACUUCCUUUAAGAGGGAAGUGCAGAAUACGGUACCUCUUGAAUAAGCCACGGCUAACUACGUGCCAGCAGCCGCGGUCAUACGUAGGGGGCAAGCGUUAUCCGGAUUUACUGGGUGUAAAGGGGGCGCAGACGGCGAUGCAAGCCAGGAGUGAAAGCCCGGGGCCCAACCCCGGUACUGCACUUGGAACUGCGUGGCUGGAGUGCAGGAGAGGCAGGCGGAAUUCGUGGUGUAGCGGUGAAAUGCGUAGAUAUCAGGAGGAACACCGGUGGCGAAGGCGGCCUGCUGGACUGCAACUGACGUUGAGGCCCGAAAGCGUGGGGAGCAAACAGGAUUAGAUACCCGGGUAGUC
rnacentral:rRNA from 1 species